rnacentral:rRNA from 1 species
GAUGAACGCUAGCUACAGGCUUAACACAUGCAAGUCGAGGGGUAACAAGAGGAAAGCUUGCUUUUCUUGUUGACGACCGGCGCACGGGUGAGUAACGCGUAUCCAACCUGCCUAUAACUAGGGAAUAACCUUGCGAAAGUAAGACUAAUACCCUAUGAUUUCCUUUGAUGACAUCAAAUUAGGAAUAAAGAUUUAUCGGUUAUAGAGGGGGAUGCGUCUGAUUAGCUUGUUGGCGGGGUAACGGCCCACCAAGGCAACGAUCAGUAGGGGUUCUGGGAGGAAGGUCCCCCACAUUGGAACUGAGAAACGGUCCAAACUCCUACGGGAGGCAGCAGUGAGGAAUAUUGGUCAAUGGGCGGAAGCCUGAACCAGCCAAGUAGCGUGCAGGAUGACGGCCCUAUGGGUUGUAAACUGCUUUUAUACAGGAAUAAAGUUAGCCACGUGUGGUUAUUUGUAGGUACUGUAUGAAUAAGGACCGGCUAAUUCCGUGCCAGCCGCCGCGGUAA